CGUUGCCGCAGUGGGAAUACGAUAGCAUUAUACAAAUAUAUUUGGGCCAAAUACAAACCAUUGUCUGGAAACCUAUUUAUAUACAGAACCAUACAUUGGCCCUGAUGUCCAUUUAGACAGGAAAAGGCAGUGUUUACAUUAAAAAGCCUGCAGGGACUGAUUACAGACACCUGGACAAUGACAUUAAGCUGUAGCUGUUCUGGUGUCUAUAGUGUCCCUUUAAGGCUGUU